UGCUCAUUGGAUUAGGUGUGAAUGGAUAUAGAAGAAAAAAUGGCAUUAUUACAAGGCCAUUUCAGUCUUUGUACUCUUUGACAUGUGGUUGUGGUUCCCUUGUACCCCACUCACUAUAGCUUGUGUGUUGCCUCUGAUCUGUUACAAGAGUGGAGUGGGCAUGCCCUAGUCCUAGUCCUAGUGUGUCUUCAAUUGGUGCGUGCCUUAUCUUCCCACCAAUUAAAAAAUGGACACACAUCACUUAUCUCCCUCUAUAUCCAUUUCAAUGGUGCCCAA
rnacentral:lncRNA from 1 species